rnacentral:rRNA from 1 species
ACUCCUACGGGAGGCAGCAGUAGGGAAUCUUCCACAAUGGACGAAAGUACUGAUGGAGCAACGCCGCGUGAGUGAAGAAGGGUUUCGGCUCGUAAAACUCUGUUGUUAAAGAAAGAACAUAUCUGAGAGUAACUGUUCAGGUAUUGACGGUAUUUAACCAGAAAGCCACGGCUAACUACGUGCCAGCAGCCGCGGUAAUACGUAGGUGGCAAGCGUUGUCCGGAUUUAUUGGGCGUAAAGCGAGCGCAGGCGGUCUUUUAAGUCUGAUGUGAAAGCCUUCGGCUCAACCGAAGAAGUGCAUCGGAAACUGGGAAACUUGAGUGCAGAAGAGGACAGUGGAACUCCAUGUGUAGCGGUGAAAUGCGUAGAUAUAUGGAAGAACACCAGUGGCGAAGGCGGCUGUCUGGUCUGUAACUGACGCUGAGGCUCGAAAGUAUGGGG